rnacentral:lncRNA from 1 species
AGGAAUCAAACAAAUGCCUUUCAAUUCAUACACGUGGCUCCGUUCAAUGUAAUACAUCAUAUUAUAGGUGCCCACUAGGGUGAGGAAUUUUUUUUUGGUCCACCAGUGGAGCAUUCAUUAAACACCAUUGGAUUAGAUAUUCUCAGAAUAUUCUUCAAAUGGAUGGUUAUGAAAGGUUAAAAAUGUAAAAUACACUGAAAACCCUCUUUCACCUAGCUAGUCAACCCCAGGACGAGAUGAUGGCGGCUUCUCU